UGGGGAAUAUUGCGCAAUGGGCGAAAGCCUGACGCAGCAACGCCGCGUGAGUGACGAAGGUCUUCGGAUUGUAAAGCUCUUUUUGGCGGGGACGAUAAUGACGGUACCCGCAGAAUAAGCCCCGGCUAACUUCGUGCCAGCAGCCGCGGUAAUACGAAGGGGGCUAGCGUUGUUCGGAAUUACUGGGCGUAAAGCGCACGUAGGCGGACUGAUAAGUCAGGGGUGAAAUCCCGGGGCUCAACCUCGGAACUGCCUUUGAUACUGUUAGUCUCGAGUCCGGAAGAGGUGAGUGGAAUUCCUAGUGUAGAGGUGAAAUUCGUAGAUAUUAGGAAGAACACCAGUGGCGAAGGCGGCUCACUGGUCCGGUACUGACGCUGAGGUGCGAAAGCGUGGGGAGCAAACAGGAUUAGAUACCCGUGUAGUCCCUGAGCGGGCUGGCAAGGCGCAU
rnacentral:rRNA from 1 species